UAUCUCUGUAGAGUCUGCAUAUCAAUAAGCGGAGGAAAAGAAACUAACAAGGAUUCCCUUAGUAACGGCGAGUGAAGCGGGAAGAGCUCAAAUUUGAAAUCUUCAAGGUUUUACCUUGACGAAUUGUAGUUUAAAGAAGUGUUUUCUGUUGAAGUUUCGGUAAAAGUUCUUUGGAAUAGGACAUCAUAGAGGGUGAGAAUCCCGUAUUUGACCGUUAUUUUCAGCUGUGUGAUACACUUUCAAAGAGUCGGAUUGUUUGGGAAUGCAGUCCAAAAUGGGUGGUAAAUUUCAUCUAAAGCUAAAUAUUGGCGAGAGACCGAUAGCGAACAAGUACCGUGAGGGAAAGAUGAAAAGAACUUUGAAAAGAGAGUUAAACAGUACGUGAAAUUGUCAAAAGGGAAGCGUUUGACACCAGUGUUGUUUUCUCCGAAAAUCAAUUAAAAAUGGCUUGAUUUUGUGUUGUAUUGACCUUAAAAGCUUUCUUCACUUUUUUCAUGUCUUUUUUAAUGCACUUUUCGUUUAACAAGUCAACAUCAGUUUCUCUUGUUGUAAAAAGGUCAUUGGAAGGUGGCUUUCUUUUCGGAGAAAGUGUUUAUAGCCUUUGACUUCUGCAAUCGGAGAGACUGAGGUCUGCAGCGUAGAUCCUUCUGGAUUAGAUUCAUUUGUGCUAAGUUACAACCGUUUAUAGACAACUUGUUGACUAUAUUCGAUCCUGUAGCUUACUCGCUUAUGUAAUUUUACCUACGCUUAGGAUGUUGAUAUGCAUGACUGAUAU
rnacentral:rRNA from 1 species